rnacentral:rRNA from 1 species
GAUGAACGCUAGCUACAGGCUUAACACAUGCAAGUCGAGGGGUAGCGAGACUAGUAGCAAUACUAGUUGUCGGCGAGCGGCGGACGGGUGAGUAACACGUAGGAAUCUGCCCUUAAGCGGGGGAUAACCAAGGGAAACUUUGGCUAAUACCGCAUAAUCUCGCGAGAGCAAAGCUGCCCGCAAGGGUGGCACUUGAGGAGGAGCCUGCGUCCGAUUAGCUAGUUGGUGGGGUAAUGGCCUACCAAGGCGAUGAUCGGUAACUGGUCUGAGAGGACGACCAGUCACACUGGGACUGAGACACGGCCCAGACUCCUACGGGAGGCAGCAGUGGGGAAUAUUGGACAAUGGGGGCAACCCUGAUCCAGCAAUGCCGCGUGUGUGAAGAAGGCCUGCGGGUUGUAAAGCACUUUAGUGAGGGAGGAAGGUGAGUGUGUUAAUAGUGCACUCAAUUGACGUUACCUCAAGAACAAGCACCGGCUAACUCUGUGCCAGCAGCCGCAGUAA